rnacentral:rRNA from 1 species
AGCUCCAAUAGCGUAUAUUAAUGUUGUUGCAGUUAAAAAGCUCGUAGUUGGAUGUCUGGGUGGGCAGCUGUCAGUCCAUGUGGCCUUGUGCUGCGUGUGCACUGGUUGCAGCUGCUGCCCAUUAGGUUGUUGGGUAUGGGAUCUGCACCCUUUACUGUGAAAAAAUUAGAGUGUUUAAAGCAGGCGGCUCUGCUUGAAUACAUUAGCAUGGAAUAAUUCUAUAGGACUAUGGUGCUAUUUUGUUGGUUUGUGUAUCUGUAGUAAUGAUUAACAGGGACAGUUGGGGGUAUUCGUAUUUCAUGGUCAGAGGUGAAAUUCUUGGAUUCAUGAAAGACGAACAUAUGCGAAAGCAUUUACCAUGGAUGUUUUCA